rnacentral:rRNA from 1 species
AUGUUAAAUGAACUCUCUCUCGUCGAAAAUCAAAUCACAGGUUCCAUCCCCGCUGAAAUAGGAAGGCUAGUCAUGUUAAACAAACUUGAUCUCUACCAAAAUCAAAUAACAGGAACGAUACCUCCAGAAGUAGGCAACCUCACUCAGCUGAACAUACUUCGUGUCUAUAAAAAUCGACUAACGGGUUCUAUACCCCCAGAACUAGGCAUCCUAGUAAAUCUCUCGAAUUUGGACCUAUCAGCCAACCAAAUCGCUGGCUCUAUUCCUGCCAGCUUAGGAAACCUUACUAAUUUAUUAAGAUUGUCCCUUUUUAGAAAUCAGAUAACAGGCUCUAUCCCACAGGAUAUUGGCAAUUUGGUGAACCUCCAAACAUUGUUCUUGGACGAGAAUAAAAUUUCUGGCUCAAUACCCAAAACAUUUGGAAACCUACAAAACAUCCAACGUCUGAACAUGAAUGAUAACAAAUUAACGGGAUCUCUUCCUCAGGGAUUUGGAGAUCUCAAGAACAUAGUCGGCCUUAAUCUGGCUGAUAACUCCCUUUCUGGACCUUUGCCUAUGAAUAUAUGUACCGGCGGCAGUCUCAGAGCUUUUGUAAUGUCUCUGAAUAUGUUCAAUGUCUCAGUUCCAUGGAGCUUAAAGACCUGUACAAGUUUGACUGGACUUUACCUUGACGGAAACCAACUGACAGGAGAUAUAUCUCACCAUUUUGGAGUUUACCCACAACUUAGGCACAUAUGGUUGACAUCCAAUAGACUCUCUGGGAGCAUUGCACCAAAGUGGGGAGACUGCCCCCAACUAAAGGAAUUCAAGCUAGGACAAAACAUGAUUACUGGUCAAAUACCUCCCACCCUAUCAAAAUUAUCCAAUUUGGUAGACCUAACACUCGAUUCUAACCACAUAACUGGUUGGAUUCCACCAGAGUUUGGAGAUUUGAAAAAUCUUUAUAUCUUGAAUCUGUCACUCAAUCAGUUAUCAGGCCCUGUACCUUUGCAGUUGGGGAAGUUGAGAAAUUUAGGACACCUUGAUCUAUCUGAAAACAGUUUGAGUGGAUCAAUACCAGAGGAAUUGGGAAGCUGCAUAGAACUAUUGUUCUUGAAGAUCAACACCAACAACUUCACUGGAAAAUUGCCUGGUGCAAUUGGAAAUUUAGCAAGCCUACAGAUGAUGUUAGAUGCCAGCAAUAACAAACUUGAAGGUGUCUUGCCAAAAGAACUUGGAAAGUUGGAGAUGCUGGAAUUUCUUAAUUUAUCCCAUAACCAGUUCAGUGGAAGCAUUCCGUCCUCCUUCGCAAGCAUGGUGAGCCUAUCGACGCUUGAUGUGUCCUACAACGACUUGGAAGGACCACUCCCAAUAGGACAUGCACUCCAAAAUGCUUCAAUAAAUUGGUUUCUUCACAAUAAAGCUCUGUGCGGUAACUUCUCUGGACUGCUACCUUGUUACUCAACUCCAGCAUCUGGUCGCCAUAAACAAAAGAUACAAAGUUCCCUCCUGCCAAUUGUUCUUGUUGUGGGGUUUUCCACCAUUGCUGCAAUUGUUAUCAUUGCAAUUCUUAUACGUAGCAAGAAAAAGAAACAACAAAGUGGUGCUACAGAUGAGGGGAGGAACAUGUUCUCUGUUUGGAAUUUUGAUGGAUGA